GCGAACGCUGGCGGCAGGCUUAACACAUGCAGGUCGAACGGACCCUUCGGGGUUAGUGGCGGACGGGUGAGUAACACGUGGGAACGUGCCCUUAGGUUCGGAACAACACAGGGAAACUUGUGCUAAUACCGGAUGUGCCUCGUAAGAGGGAAAGAUUUAUCGCCUUUGGAGCGGCCCGCGUCUGAUUAGCUUGUUGGUGAGGUAAAGGCUCACCAAGGCUACGAUCAGUAGCUGGUCUGAGAGGAUGGCCAGCCACAUUGGGACUGAGACACGGCCCAAACUCCUACGGGAGGCAGCAGUGGGGAAUCUUGCGCAAUGGGCGAAAGCCUGACGCAGCCAUGCCGCGUGGAUGAUGAAGGUCUUAGGAUUGUAAAAUCCUUUCAGCGGGGACGAUAAUGACGGUACCCGCAGAAGAAGCCCCGGCUAACUUCGU
rnacentral:rRNA from 1 species